rnacentral:rRNA from 1 species
GACGAACGCUGGCGGCGUGCUUAACACAUGCAAGUCGAACGGAAGGGCCUGCUUUCCCUUGUGGAUUGCGGGUACUCGAGUGGCGAACGGGUGAGUAACACGUGAGUGAUCUGCCCCCAACUUGGGUAUAAGCCUGGGAAACUGGGUCUAAUUCCCGAUAGGACUGCAGGGUGGUGCCUGUGGUGGAAAACGAUUUUCUAGUGGUUGGGGAUGAGCUCGCGGCCUAUCAGCUUGUUGGUGGGGUAAUGGCCUACCAAGGCGGCGACGGGUAGCCGGCCUGGGAGGGUGGACGGCCACAUUGGGACUGAGAUACGGCCCAGACUCCUACGGGAGGCAGCAGUGGGGAAUAUUGCACAAUGGGCGGAAGCCUGAUGCAGCGACGCCGCGUGGGGGAUGACGGCCUUCGGGUUGUAAACUCCUUUCGACCGCGAGGAAGCCACCUGGUUGGAAGGGUGGUGACGGUAGUGGUAGAAGAAGCACCGGCUAACUACGUG